UACGUAGGUGGCGAGCGUUGUCCGGAUUUACUGGGCGUAAAGGGAGCGUAGGCGGACUUUUAAGUGAGAUGUGAAAUACUCGGGCUCAACUUGAGUGCUGCAUUUCAAACUGGAAGUCUAGAGUGCAGGAGAGGAGAAUGGAAUUCCUAGUGUAGCAGUGAAAUGCGUAGAGAUUAGGAAGAACACCAGUGGCGAAGGCGGUUCUCUGGACUGUAACUGACGCUGAGGCUCGAAAGCGUGGGGAGCAAACAGG
rnacentral:rRNA from 1 species